GAGCAUUGAAUACUGGGCUGGGCUUCAGCAAGACCGAAGGGCAGAUAGAGGCCGUGUGAGUCUGCGCGGAUCGGGAAUGGGACUCGGGAGUGGACUACAAGUCCCAGCAGGGCGUGCGGCCACAGCUCGCAGGCUCGGAUCGGGAUUGGGACAUAAGGCGGCGUUCUGAAAAGGGGAGAGUGCUGCACCCAGUGUGCUUCGUGUGCAUCCUAGUGGGACUUGCGGUUUCUGGGGGCGAUGUCUGGCUAUAGGAAGGAAUUGGGCGCGAAUGAUUUGGGGAUAAGGGAAAAUACUUCACGACUUUCAAGACGGAAGGUGUAUUGGCUCUUAGAAUUUGAAGUUUCGUGCUCGGGCACCUGCCCCGAGCCCUGCCCCUCCACCAGAGUUGUUACCACGGUUUACUUGUCCCGAGCUCCCGCGGGAUAGGUGCCGCAUUCUAUUCACCUUGGUUGAACCGCCCCGGCUUCUGCACACUUACUUGGCACUUCAUUCAUGUUGAAUGUAUCCUGCUUUCUCCCACCCCAUUUACUCGUUUCAUUACCUAAAUUUUUUCAACAAACUCGGUUUGCUGAACCGAAUUUUUUUUUUUAUUGAUAUGAUGUUGGGGGGGAGAGGGGAGAUUUCCUCAGGAAUAUUCCCUAUUUCCAUCUGAUGGAACCAGAUCUCCAAUGGCCGAGCUUCUGAAAGGCACAGACCAUCAUGAAAUCCUG
rnacentral:lncRNA from 1 species